CCAAUAGCGUAUAUUAAAGUUGUUGCAGUUAAAAAGCUCGUAGUUGAAUUUCGGGAUCAAUAUUUCGGUCAUGCCGUUGGUAUGCACUGUUAUCAUUGAUUUCUCACCUUCUAAAGAACCGUAAUGCCAUUAAUUUGGUGUUACGGGGAAUUAGGACUGUUACCUUGAAAAAAUUAGAGUGUUUAAAGCAGGCUCACGCUUGAAUACAUUAGCAUGGAAUAAUGAAAUAGGACAUCCGAUUCUAUUUUGUUGGUUUCUAGGAUCGAUGUAAUGAUUAAUAGGGAUAGUUGGGGGCAUUAGUAUUCAAUUGUCAGAGGUGAAAUUCUUGGAUUUAUUGAAGACUAACUACUGCGAAAGCAUUUGCCAAGGAUGUUUUCAUUAAUCAAGAACGAAAGUUAGGGGAUCGAAGACGAUCAGAUACCGUCGUAGUCUUAACCAUAAACUAUGCCGACCAGGGAUCGGAUGAUGUUAAUUUUUUAAUGACUCAUUCGGCGCCUUACG
rnacentral:rRNA from 1 species